UUAUAUGCUUUCGAUAUCGUCGGGGUGGCGGUUGUAAGAAUUUGAGUUCGGUUGCGCUGGAAAGAGCCUCUGCGAGAGAUGUCUCCAACUGGGAAAUAUAUUUCUUCGCUUACUCUGGGAUCUUUGAUUUUUUGUUCAAGGUUUCUGACAUUGAAACUACUGACAGUUUAAGAAUGCAAUUCAAAAAGGAAAUCUGAUUUUUUUAUGUUCUGGGCCUAAAUUCGCAUUAUUGGUUCGCAGGAAGAAGCCUUUCACUGUAACAAAUGAUUUUUGCAACAGUCUUCUAUAUUUUACAUUCGCACUACGUUUGUAUGAAUGAAAAUUCGUAAAUCACAGCUUCUUUUUGUUUUAAGUGUUUGACAUGUCAAGACUCUUAAGUCUUUUUGUUGUUUCAUUGGAAUUUCAUAUUAACAAAUUCUUAGGAAAUUUCUGAAUUUCUUAGUUACUUGAAUUCUUAUUGUGAUAUUAAUUUAUAUUUGGAAUCCAAAACAUUUAAGAUUUUUCUAAAUGUUUCUAUGUAGUAAAACACAACGAUCAAGUUGCUAAUACUUAAUGCAAAUACAUCCUCUGCAUUCACUAAAAUCAGGUUUUUCCGUAGGCAUUUUAAUAGAGCACGCUUUGGAGUAAAAGAUUAAAAAACAACUUACCAAUUUUUUCAACAUUGUAACUUCUCUUUACAACAUCAAAUGCAUAUGUAGAUUACGGAAUACGACAACUGAAUAAAAAGUGAUUACACUUUUUGGAGGGAUGAAAUCUUUCAGCCAAAUAAAGGAGAAACCAUGCGUGU